GAUGAACGCUAGCGGCAGGCCUAAUACAUGCAAGUCGGACGGGAUCCAUUGAUAGCUUGCUAUCAAUGGUGAGAGUGGCGCACGGGUGCGUAACGCGUGUGCAACCUGUCUCCAUCAGGGGGAUAGCCUCGCGACAGAGAGAUUAACACCGCAUAAUAUCAACAGUUCGCAUGUUCAGUUGAUUAACGAUUUUUAGGAUGGAGAUGGGCUCGCGUGACAUUCGCUAGUUGGUAGGGUAACGGCUUACCAAGGCGACGAUGUCUAGGGGCUCUGAGAGGAGAAUCCCCCACAAUGGUACUGAGACACGGACCAGAAUCCUACGGGAGGCAGCAGUAAGGAAUACUGGUCAAUGGGCGGAAGCCUGAACCAGCCAUGCCGCGUGCAGGAGGACUGCCCUAUGGGUUGUAAACUGCUUUUGUCCAAGAAUAAACCUAAAUACGAGGAUUUAGCUGAAUGUACUGGAAGAAUAAGGAUCGGCUAACUCCGUG
rnacentral:rRNA from 1 species